AGAGUUUGAUCCUGGCUUAGGAUGAACGCUGGCGGCGUGCUUAACACAUGCAAGUCGAACGGAGCUUUUAAGAACAAGACUUCGGUCAAGUGAUUCUAAGCUUAGUGGCGGACGGGUGAGUAACGCGUGAGCAACCUGCCUUUCAGAGGGGGAUAACGUUUGGAAACAGACGCUAAUACCGCAUAACAUAGUUUUAUCGCAUGAUAGGACUAUCAAAGGAGCAAUCCGCUGAAAGAUGGGCUCGCGUCCGAUUAGGUAGUUGGUGAGGUAACGGCCCACCAAGCCGACGAUCGGUAGCCGGACUGAGAGGUUGAACGGCCACAUUGGGACUGAGACACGGCCCAGACUCCUACGGGAGGCAGCAGUGGGGAAUAUUGCACAAUGGGCGAAAGCCUGAUGCAGCAACGCCGCGUGAAGGAAGACGGUUUUCGGAUUGUAAACUUCUGUUCUUGGUGAAGAAACAAAUGACAUUAGCCAAGGAGCAAGCCACGGCUAACUACGUGCCAGCCGCCGC
rnacentral:rRNA from 1 species